rnacentral:rRNA from 1 species
UACGGAGGGGGCUAGCGUUGUUCGGAAUUACUGGGCGUAAAGGGCUCGUAGGCGGCCAACUAAGUCGGAUGUGAAAUCCCCAGGCUUAACCUGGGAACUGCGUCCGAUACUGGACUGGCUUGAAUCCGGGAGAGGGAUGUGGAAUUCCAGGUGUAGCGGUGAAAUGCGUAGAUAUCGGGAGGAACACCAGUGGCGAAGGCGACUUCCUGGCCUGUUCUUGACGCUGAGGCGCGAAAGCUAGGGGAGCAAACGGG